AGACACCCCAGACACACCCAAACUGAACGUCCCGGAACACUUCCAGUACUCUGAGCCCGUCAUCUCCAAGGUGACGGACUACAUCUUCGUGGGCAACCUGAACGCAGCGUACAACGGGCGCACGCUGUGUCGCAACAACAUUGACAGCAUCAUCGACAUGAGCAGCAUGCCGGGGGACCCCGGCCCAAGCCUCAGCCUUAUCCCUUGCACCUGCUCCCGAGGCGCCCGCCACAGCUGGUCCCGCCUCAAGGUGGACAUCUGCGAUGUCCCAGACGCGCUGGGCGAGGGAAGCCCCGCCCUGAAGCAGCACUGCUUCGAGGACAUCAACGAGUGCAUCGAGGCUUCCACGGAAAAAAGGAAACGAGUGCUGGUCCACUGCCGUGACGGGUACUCCCUGGCUCCGACCUGUAUCAUCCAGUACCUCAUGGUGAAGCAGAAUAUGCGGCUGAUCUCGGCCUACGAGCUGCUGAGGGCCAAGUACCCUGUUAACAUCAGGGAGUGUCACCAGAAUGUCCUGGUGAGCCUGGAGAGAGCUCUGCGGCCUGGAGGCAACGUGGACCCAGAGUGCUUCAAGCAGGCCAUCUCAAGGAAAGUGGCCUGGACCUGACCUGGCUCCUCCCCCUCCACUCCACUCUCCCUGUAGUUUGGCCCUCUUUAUUUUUCUAAUCUAACCGUGGCAUUCAAUGGAUAUUUUUCUAUGGACAAUUUUUGAAAGGCAGCUUUACUUUCUUACAGAGCCAAAACAACAUGUCAGUCCCAAUACUUUUGAAGCUCACUGUACUUGCGACGCAUCAAAAUGCUUGUGAAAAUGUAAAUGCAAGUUGAUGUAUUUGUCCUCUUCUGAGCCCGUGAAUUUGACUUUGAUGUUUCUCCAUAAGCGAUUAGAUGUUUUACUCUUUACAUCUGCUAGAUAUGGAAAAUGUUUCAUUCUAGACUGUGACUUCAGGCUGAAUAAGCCCUUUGCCACGCUGGUUUUAUUGUGGCUGUGUUUUUAUUUCAGGGGAAUUUGAAUGGGAGUUCUCAGGAGAACUAAUGAUGAUGUCAUUCCAAUAUAGCUGCAAACACUGCUGAUCUAAUCUGAAAGCUCUGUGUGAAUAAUGGAGGACGUCACUGCUCUCUUGGAUCUACAUCGGCCAAUCACAGGAGCAGAUCAUUACUGUACUAUAUCAGCGACAUGCAGGGGACUUUGCACAUGGUUGCCGAUUUGUUGUUGUAAAUCCCUCCCUCACACCUCAAUUGGUCUGUGACCCUCCUGCCACAGACAGACAUGACAAUGUGGUAUCCUCCUCAGACAUUUUCCAUUAUGGUUCAGAAGACCAGGUGGAAGACAAUGAAUUAUCAUAGAUCGUCCUCUAUGAGGAAAACUAACUUACAUGACGUUCCCUAUCACUUUAACUCACCGUUGUAAACAUUUGCUGUGGUACUUCUUGGAAACUGUGGCUUUGUAAUUUCAGCUGUUGUGUAUGCAAUGAAAAUGGAUGGUCAGUAUCUAUCUCUCUGGAAUGUCAGUAUUAGUAUAUUAUAAAUCAGACUGAAUGGUGAUUCAAUGUUGUACUGCGAGAAAUUCUAUUGCACUACCUAAAAAGGUUCUCCAGAAAUGCACAGUUUGAUGGAUAUUAGUAAGCUGACAUGAAUUUAAACACAACUUUUUUAUUAUCAUUGUUCUGUGGUAUGGAAAUGUCUUUGUAAAAUUAUUGUUUUGAAGACUUUGUGCUCUAGUGUUCGAUUCAGUUAAUUUGGUCCCAAUAUUAUUCCCUUAAAGGGACAGUUUGUUCAAAAGUAAUAUUUCCAUUAUUUUACUUAUCUUGGAAGUAGUCAUAGACCAGUAGUGACUACGUCUAGGAUUAGGGUUUCAUUACUUUGCUUCAGCCACAACAGGCUAAAUGUUAGCAUUCUCUACCUCAACACAAGGGUUGAAUGUUGCCCACUUUAGAACUGUCUGAAUUGCAAAAUCAACUCAAAUUAACAUAACAUUGGAAAGCAAAACUUUCUCUCCAGGGAGUUGUGUAGAGGCUCAUAUGAUUUAGAAAAUAGUUACAUUUCUGUAAAAAAAAAAAAAGAAAUGUCUUGCUACAGUAAUUUAUCAUAUUCAUAAAAUGCCACUGAUCCAAUGUUAUUGUAGUAUGGUUAUGAUCAUAAACCACUAUUCUUUUAUCUGACAGAUUUAAUAUUAGAGUUGCUUAUUUUUGUCAGCAGUGGUUGUAGUACAUUUUUGUUGUUCUGUGACCAGUAUGGGUGGAAUGGAAGCUUCACUAUAUGAGUAUGGUGCCUUUGCUUGAAUUUGUCUUGUGCGACUGUACAGUGACACUUGCACACUUUGUAUGCAGUUGUUGAGCGUUGAUAAACAUUUUUCUACUUUAAAAUGUUGCCUAUUGAUGCUCUCAAUGUUUUUAAUUGGAAUACAUGAGGUAAGGAUUUUAUGAAAGAAUACAGUUAUGUGAAUUGGUUAUUGCUGUAACAUGUUUUGGUGGUCAGUG
rnacentral:lncRNA from 1 species